rnacentral:misc_RNA from 1 species
AAGUCGUAACAAGGUUUCCGUAGGUGAACCUGCGGAAGGAUCAUUAUGAAUAUAUACAUUAUUGUGGAAUUACUUAUAUCUAACUAAUCUAUUUUUUUAAUUACAACUAUCAACAACGGAUCUCUUGGCUCUC